GAGAAAUUUCUAUAAAUUAGGAUUUACAGAGCUAUGGAUUUUGCACUAAGUAGCUUACUACCAAAAGCAGGAAACAUUGAUCUGAGACAUCAGACCACUCUGUUGCCUUUUGGUACUUGGGGGAAAUUGUGGCCAAUUUUAGGAUUAAGUGCCCAUUGUGGUGAUGUAUGAGAUUAUUUCAAAAGGCUGAUGGGAAAAUACUAGAAAGAUAAGUUCACUGAGGUUGACACUGUGGCACAGUGGAUUAAGCUGCUGCUGGCAAUGUUGGCCUCCCACAUCAGAGCACCAAUUAAGCCCUGACUACCCUGCUUCUGAUCCAGCUUCCUGCUAAUGUACAGGGUAAGGCAGUGGAUGAUGACCCAAGUACUUGAGUCCCUGUCACUCACAUGGGAAACAUGGAUGGAGUUCCUAGCUCCUGGUUUUGGCCUGCACAGACCUGGCUAUUGCAGCCAUUUGGGGAGUGAACCAUUGGGUGUAUGCGCUCUCUCGCUCUUUCUGUCUCUCUCUUUCUCUCUGUAUCUCUUCUUUCUCUAUUGUUCUGCCUUUUAAAUAAAUAGGGAAAUAAGUCUUCCUUCAAAAGAAGAUGUUUAUUUUGAUACAAAAAAUUGAAAUCUGUGCAUAGUUUUUUCAUAAUAUGCAUUUUCCAUGACUUUUUAGACACUUCAAAAUUCAACCUAAAAUAUGGCCUAUCUGCUGAUUACUUGAAAACUCCUGGUCCAUUCCUUACUCCGUUCUCAUUUAUUUAAAGAUCUUCCCACUGCACAGACAAGGCUUUUGCUUUGAUUCCAGCUUUGAUGUUCACAAGAAGUGCCCGCUCUGUGAGUCAAUGUUCCCUCCCAACUAGGAUCAGAGCAAAUCUGAAGAACAUGUUGAAAGUCACUGGAAGAUGUGCCCAGUGUGCAGGGGGCAGUUCCCCGCCCCGACUACCACCAGCAGGGGUCUGAAAGUGUACUGAACUACUCAGGAGAUGAAGAAACAAGACAAGAUACAAAGCCCCAUUUUCCUUGUAGUCUAAAAUACACGAGCUUGUGUGUGUGAUCGUAUAGAUAGGUUCUGCAAUGGCAUCGCUAAAACGUUUACAGUGGUUAUCUCUGGAAAUGUUGAGGGGGAAACGACAGCUGUCCUUCAAAGAGAUUUUUCAGGAGACUGCACAGGGAUGACAAUCAGGCUGCCUCUGCUCGCUUUGGUGAUCACCAGCAAAUCCACCCAGCGCAAAGCAAGCCUUCCUUUUUAGAAUGCACUUCAUUCCUGCCGUAUUCUGGAAGCACGCCCUCAUUCUGUUCCCGCAACUACUUUGUUCCAAAGCCUUGGCUUCAAGCAACAUUUGGCUGCUUCCCAAUGUAACAUGUGCCACUUAAGGCAAAGAUUUGCUAUCCUGAGGAUAUUUUACAGCUGUAUAAGGGCCCUGUAUGAGUCAGCUUGAGCUGCCAUGACAAGACUCAAGGCUUAAAUAUCUGACUGAACAGAAAUUCUUCCAGGAAUGGAAGGUCCAAAAUCAAGAUGCCAGUAUGGUAGAGUUCAGGUGAGGACCCUCUUCCUGGUUUGCAGGCAGUCAUGUGCUUGUUGUGUCUGAGAGAGGGAGGGAAGAUGCGCACGUGCGCGCACGAGAGAGAGAGAGACAGAGACAGAGAGAGAGAGAGAGAGAGAGGGAGAGAAUAUACUCUGGAGCCUUUUCUUAUCAGGACACUAUCAGAUCAAGCCCCUACCUUUAAGGCUUCAUUUAACCUUACUUACUUCUAUAAAGGUCCUAUCUCUAAAUAUAGUCGCUCUGAGGGUGCUUCAACGCAGGAAUCGGUGAGGUUGGUAAGGCAGGCGCUGCAGCCUCUGAAAGCAUUUCAAAGUGGAGAGUUUCCCAAAGGUUUGUGCAUUUGUUGCCACAGUGCACAUUAUCGGUCUGGUUUCAUACUGUGAAGACAUCACCAUUUGCUUCAAUGAACAAGUUUCCAGUGCCCUUGUGUGAUGAAAUGCUUUGCAACUUACU